rnacentral:rRNA from 1 species
AGAGUUUGAUCCUGGCUCAGGACGAACGCUGGCGGCGUGCCUAACACAUGCAAGUCGAGCGGAGACAGGGAGUAGCUUGCUACGAACUGUUUUAGCGGCGGACGGGUGAGUAACGCGUGAGCAACCUUUCCCAGACAGGGGAAUAACACACCGAAAGGUGUACUAAUACCGCAUAAGACCACGGGAUCACAUGGUUCUGGGGUAAAAGAAUUAUCGGUUUGGGGUGGGCUCGCGUCCGAUUAGGUAGUUGGUGAGGUAACGGCCCACCAAGCCGACGAUCGGUAGCCGACCUGAGAGGGUGAUCGGCCACAUUGGGACUGAGACACGGCCCAAACUCCUACGGGAGGCAGCAGUGGGGAAUAUUGCACAAUGGGGGAAACCCUGAUGCAGCGACGCCGCGUGAGCGAAGAAGUAUUUCGGUAUGUAAAGCUCUAUCAGCAGGGAAGAAAAUGACGGUACCUGACUAAGAAGCCCCGGCUAACUACGUGCCAGCAGCCGCGGUAAUACGUAGGGGGCAAGCGUUGUCCGGAAUAAUUGGGCGUAAAGGGCGCGUAGGCGGCUCGGUAAGUCUGGAGUGAAAGUCCUGCUUUUAAGGUGGGAAUUGCUUUGGAUACUGUCGGGCUUGAGUGCAGGAGAGGUUAGUGGAAUUCCCAGUGUAGCGGUGAAAUGCGUAGAGAUUGGGAGGAACACCAGUGGCGAAGGCGACUAACUGGACUGUAACUGACGCUGAGGCGCGAAAGUGUGGGGAGCAAACAGGAUUAGAUACCCUGGUAGUCCACACUGUAAACGAUGAAUGCUAGGUGUAGGGGGUAUCGACCCCUUCUGUGCCGGAGUAAACACAAUAAGCAUUCCGCCUGGGGAGUACGGCCGCAAGGUUGAAACUCAAAGGAAUUGACGGGGGCCCGCACAAGCAGCGGAGCAUGUGGUUUAAUUCGACGCAACGCGAAGAACCUUACCAGGUCUUGACAUCCACUUAAACUUACAGAGAUGUAAGGUGUGCUUGCACAAAGUGAGACAGGUGGUGCAUGGUUGUCGUCAGCUCGUGUCGUGAGAUGUUGGGUUAAGU